GAGCGUUUAAAUUUUACUUACCAUUCGACUCCCGAAUUCUGUCCAUACCGUGCGACCCCUGGUUUGGCUACAAAUUUAGGAGGGAUCUUUCUUGGCGAAAUUUGAUUUCCGGAAAUACUGCAAAAUGAUGUAAAAAUACUGCAUUGGGCUUAUUGCCCUCUUCGUUUUCGUAACCGUCGUAUCUGAAGGGAUGGGUGCGGUGCGGGUUAAACGGCAAAGAAACACGGACUGGGGGCCAGAUGGAGUCCCGCCGCCUCAAGGUAAUGGUGGCGGUGUGCCUCCCGGGUACCGAUGGAGUUACCAAUGGACCUCACCCACCAAGUUUUAUCAUUAUUCUUACCAGUACCAUAAUAAGAAUUAGAUCGACUAAUUGUCACUUUGAGAUACUCGAAAAUAAAAUUCAUUCUAAUCGUUGAUUACACUCUAAGAAACUGGGUGAUAGCGGCGAUCACCGCGCGAACGGAGAUAGCGAGUAUCACCGUCAUGGUGAUACAUUUGUCACCAAAAUCUGUCACCACUCCUGGUGAUAGCCACUACCACCGUUCCAUGGUGAUACCGUCUCUGCACGUGACUCUCGGAGUGGCGAGUUUGUCCUACUCCACGCACUAAACAAUGCAGCAGAACAGCAGUGAAUUUGUAGAAGUGCCAGAAUUACUUCGUAUUUCUUGUUUUCUAAGAGGAAAAAAUAAAUACUUGCGCCUGAAUAUUUGUAAAGUUAUUGACACAGGUAAAAAAUUUAAAAAAUCGAAAUUUUGACCAAUUUUAUCAACCUAAAUUUUGUUUCCUUUCUACCACCGAGAAAAAUAUAGGUUGGACACCAAUAUACGCCCGAAGGACGAAGUGUCUAUUUCCAGACGUCAUGCCGUCAUCCCCGUUAAUUAUGUACAAGAGAUCAUCCAUACUUUAAUCGAUGUCAGCCAAGAAAAAUUGAGCCAGCAGCUUCCGUAUUAAUGAUCCCAGUCUGGGGAAAGUUUGUCUUCAAAGGGUAAAGUAAAAAAAAGUAAUUAUGGGUUUUACAUACAUAUAUAUAUACAAACUAUUAAAUUAUUUCUGAAUAAAAAACUAAAUACAAUAGAAAAACGUAA